UAUCAAUAAGCGGAGGAAAAGAAACUAACAAGGAUUCCCCUAGUAACUGCGAGUGAAGCGGGAAAAGCUCAAAUUUAAAAUCUGGCGGCCUCUGGCCACCCGAGUUGUAAUUUAGAGAAGCGUCUUCCGCGCUGGACCAUGCACAAGUCUCCUGGAAUGGAGCGUCAUAGAGGGUGAGAAUCCCGUCUUUGGCAUGGAUGUACCAGGGCUUUUGUGAUGCGCUCUCAAAGAGUCGAGUUGUUUGGGAAUGCAGCUCAAAAUGGGUGGUGAACUCCAUCUAAAGCUAAAUAUUGGCGAGAGACCGAUAGCGAACAAGUACCGUGAGGGAAAGAUGAAAAGCACUUUGGAAAGAGAGUGAAACAGUACGUGAAAUUGUUGAAAGGGAAACGCUUGAAGUCAGUCGCGUCGACCGAGACUCAGCCUCGCCUUGGCUUGGUGUACUUCUCGGCCGACGGGUCAGCGUCAAUUUUGCCCCUCGGAUAAUGGCGAGGGAAAGGUAGCACCUUUAUAGGUGUGUUAUAGUCUCUUGUCGCAUGCGAGGGUCGGGAUUGAGGAACUCAGCACGCACCUCUCGGUGUCGGGGCUUCGGCCCACGCUACGUGCUUAGGAUGCUGGCGUAAUGGCUUUAAACGACC
rnacentral:rRNA from 1 species